rnacentral:rRNA from 1 species
AGAGUUUGAUCCUGGCUCAGAACGAACGCUGGCGGCACGCCUAACACAUACAAGUCGAACGAAGCAUGGUAGCUUGCUAUCAUGACUGAGUGGCGCACGGGUGAGUAACACGUGGGAAUCUGCCUAUUGGUGGGGAAUAACCUUUGGAAACGAAGGCUAAUACCGCAUAAGCCCUGAGGGGGAAAGAUUUAUCGCCAAUAGAUGAGCCCGCGUUAGAUUAGCUAGUUGGUGGGGUAAUGGCCUACCAAGGCUGUGAUCUAUAGCUGUCCUUUUGGGGAUGGUCAGCCACACUGGGACUGAGACACGGCCCAGACUCCUACGGGAGGCAGCAGUGGGGAAUAUUGGCCUUGGGGGAAACCCUGAUCCAGCGAUGCCGCGUGAGGGCUCUCCUUAGGGUUGUAAAACUCUUCAGGAGGGACGAUGAUGACGGUACCUCCAG